rnacentral:rRNA from 1 species
GAUGAACGCUGGCGGCGUGCUUAACACAUGCAAGUCGAACGAUGAAAGCGGGAGCUUGCUCCUGCUGGAUUAGUGGCGAACGGGUGAGUAACACGUGAGCAAUCUGCCCCGAACUCUGGGAUAAGCGUUGGAAACGACGUCUAAUACCGGAUACGACGCGCGAAGGCAUCUUCUGCGCGUGGAAAGAAUUUCGGUUCGGGAUGAGCUCGCGGCCUAUCAGCUAGUUGGCGAGGUAACGGCUCACCAAGGCGACGACGGGUAGCCGGCCCUGAGAGGGUAACCGGCCACACUGGGACUGAGACACGGCCCAGACUCCUACGGGAGGCAGCAGUGGGGAAUAUUGCACAAUGGGCGCAAGCCUGAUGCAGCAACGCCGCGUGAGGGACGACGGCCUUCGGGUUGUAAACCUCUUUUAGUAGGGAAGAAGCGAAAGUGACGGUACCUGCAGAAAAAGCACCGGCUAACUACGUGCCAGCAGCCGCCGUAAGAC